GACGAACGCUGGCGGCGUGCUUAACACAUGCAAGUCGAACGGAGAAGCUCCAGCUUGCCGGCGUGGAUCAGUGGCGAACGGGUGAGUAACACGUGAGCAACCUGCCCCUGACUCUCGAAUAAGCGCUGGAAACGGCGUCUAAUACUCGAUACGAGAAGUGUCCGCAUGGGCACUUUCUGUAAAGGUCUUCGGUUGGGGAUGGGCUCGCGGCCUAUCAGCUUCUUGGUGAGGUAAGGGCUGACCAAGGCUACGACGGGUAGCCGGCCUGGGCGGGCGACCGGCCACACUAGGACUGAGACACGGCCCAGACUCCUACGGGAGGCAGCAGUGGGGAAUAUUGCACAAUGGGCGAAAGCCUGAUGCAGAGACGCCGCGUGAGGGAUGACGGCCUUCGGGUUGUAAACCUCUUUCAGCAGGGAAGAAGAGAAAGUGACGGUACCUGAAGAAGAAGCACCGGCUAACUACGUG
rnacentral:rRNA from 1 species